rnacentral:lncRNA from 1 species
CUGUUUUGGUGCCAUACCAUGCUGUUUUUGUUACUAUAGCUUGGUAGUAUAAUUUAAGGUCUGGUAUUGUGAUGCCUCCUGCAUCACUUUUUGUGCUAAGGAUUGCUUUGGCUAAUCUGGGCCUUAUAUUUUUCCAGACGAAUUUCAUGAUAGACAUGAAGACCAAUGAAGCAGAAUAGAAGACACGGAGACACAACCAAAUAAAUACAGUUAUCUCAUCUUAGACAAAGACACCAUAAGCAUAUGGAGAAAAGAUGGCCUCUUCAACAAAUGGUGCUGGGAAAACUGGAAAUCAUAUGUAAUAGAAUGAAAUUGAACCCUAUAUAUCUCACCCUGCACAAAACUCAACUCUAAGUGGAUCAAAGAUUUAGGCAUUAGACCAGAGAUUCUGCACUUACUAGAAGAAAAAGUAGGCCCAACUCUCCAACAUGUUGGCCUGGGAACCAAAUUCCUCAACAAACUCCUAAUGCCAAGAAGUAAAAUCAAGAAUCAAUAAAUGGGAUGGUAUCAAUCUGAAAAGCUUCUUCCCAGCAAAGGAAACGACCAGGAAUGUGUACAGAGAUCCUACAGAUUUGGAAAAAUCUUCACCUCCAGUACAUAUACAAAGAACUAAAAAAACUUAACACCAGGAAAAUAAAUGACUCAAUCAAUAAAUAGGCAAAAGAACUGAACAACAAACACUUCACAGAAGAAAUUUGAAUGAUCAAAAAAUAUAAGAAAAAAUGUUCAAUAUCUCUAGCAAUUAGAGAAAUGUAAAUUAUUCCAGUCAGAAUGUCAGUUAUAAAGAAUAAAAGUAACAAAAAUGUUGGUGAGGAUGUGGGGAGUAAUGUACUCUUAUAUACAUUGUUGGUUGGACUGCAAAUUGGAGCAACCACUAUGGAAAGCCAUAUGGAGAUUCAUUAGAAAACGUGGAAUGGAACCAUCAUUUGACCUAGUUAUCCCACUCCUCAGUUUAUACCCAGAGAACUUAAAAUCAGCAUACUACAAUGAUUCAGCCACAUCCAUAUUUAUAGCAACUCAACUCACAAUAGCCAAACUAUGGAAACAAUCUAGGUGUCCUUCAAUGGAUGAAUGGGUAAAGAAAAUGUGGUAUAUAUAGAGAAUGAAAUAUUGGUCAGCCAUAGAGAAGAAUGAAAUUAUGGCAUUUUCCAGUAAAUGGGGAGCUGGAGACUAUCAUGAUAAGUGAAAUAAGCCAAUCCCCCCCAAAAAACAAAGACCAAAUGUUCUCUCUGAUUUGGGGAUGCUAACCCCAAAUAGAGGAGGUUGGGGAGGAGAAUAAUAGAAAUAGAUUGGACUGGACAGGGUGUAACAGAGGGAUG